rnacentral:lncRNA from 1 species
UGCUAGAUUAUUGAUAAACUCUAUGGUUCUGUCAACUUCUAGAUCAAGAAUAUCAUUGAUGGACUUAGCUAUAUUAUUACUAGAUGUACCCAUAGAGAUUCCUAAUUCACUAGCAUUAGUCAAGAUUUCAGAAUCAGAAAAUUUUAAAAUAGAUGCAGUCUGAUCAAUAGACAAACCUGAAGUUUUUUCAGCAUCUCGAAUUUUUGCAGCUCGCAUGGCACGACCUAUCGACAUAUCAUCAGCAUCAGGCUUCUCCUGAAU